rnacentral:rRNA from 1 species
GACGAACGCUGGCGGCGUGCUUAACACAUGCAAGUCGAACGAAGUGGCGAACGGGUGAGUAAUACGUGGGUAACCUGCCCUCCUUUUUGGGAUAAGCCUUGGAAACGGGGUCUAAUACCCAAUCUAGGGGGAUGGGCUCGCGGCGUAUCAGCUUGUUGGUGGGGUGAUGGCCUACCAAGGCGGUGACGGGUAGCCGGCCUGAGAGGGUGACCGGAGACAUGGAGAAGGGGCUACGGCCCAGAUGCCUACGGGGGGCAGCAGUGGGGGAGAGUGCACAAUGGGCGAAAGCCUGAUGCAGCGACGCCGCGUGGGGGAUGAAGGCUUUCGGGUUGUAAACCUCUUUCGAUAUCGAACGGGUAGGUUGAGAAGAAGCGCCGGCUAACUACGUGCCAGCAGCCGCGGUAAUUC